rnacentral:rRNA from 1 species
AUUGACGUUACCCGCAGAAGAAGCACCGGCUAACUCCGUGCCAGCAGCCGCGGUAAUACGGAGGGUGCAAGCGUUAAUCGGAAUUACUGGGCGUAAAGCGCACGCAGGCGGUCUGUCAAGUCGGAUGUGAAAUCCCCGGGCUCAACCUGGGAACUGCAUUCGAAACUGGCAGGCUUGAGUCUUGUAGAGGGGGGUAGAAUUCCAGGUGUAGCGGUGAAAUGCGUAGAGAUCUGGAGGAAUACCGGUGGCGAAGGCGGCCCCCUGGACAAAGACUGACGCUCAGGUGCGAAAGCGUGG